UCUGCAUAGAUGUUAAUGUCAACUACUACAAGGUGUAAAUUCAAAGACAAUCCCUAUGUUUGAACAACUUUUUCAGUUCUUUGGAUGUUAUUACUAUUUUACAAAACUUUUGGGGGGUCUGUAUGAGUUUAAGUAGUAGUUCUAGUAGGAUGGGCUUUAUUGUGUUGACCACGCCAUUUAUCAGGAACCGAAGAAAAGCAAGGUGGUCAUCUGGAGGCAGUGAUGAAGAGCCAAAAGAAAAGUUAACGUCUCUGAUCCACGGGUGUCCCUAGCCUGGCAGGACCUGGUUAUUCUGCUUAUUAAACACCAGAGAAUCUACAACAGCCGGCAGCAUUAUAAACACUUCAAGAUUCAAAAUACUGGAAGAACUUAACACAGACAUACAACUUCCUGAGCUCCAGAAAUUCACAUGGGGGGAAUUUGUGACCUGAGAGAAAACAGCUUUCAAACUCUGAAGAUACCAGGCACCGGCCAGGAGAUACAUCUGAGGCUGCAUAAGGGCCUUAACCGGCCUUCAUCUUCCUUGGCAGAAAACCAGUGCUGGGAGGAAGCUCCAGUGCCCACCAGUGCUUGGGCUGCUCGGCGGAGCAGAAGCACAGCACAUCUGGUGGGCAUGUGCUGGGGAGCACCGCUGGGUGCUCAGCGGUAUCCACAGGAACUAUAUGAAACAAGGACUAUUUCUUCAUCAAACUGCCAAAAUAAAUAGCUA